UCCUGCGCUCUGUUCAAAAUUUGGACAAAUUUUGAACAUAGCCAGGAACCAGA
rnacentral:pre_miRNA from 1 species